AGAUGACAACUUGAUUGAAAUCUAAGGCAUCAAGCAGAUCAUUCAACUUCCGAUUUUUCUCCAGCUCACUCAAUUUGAUGUAGUGCUGCCAUGAAGAGACACCAAGUAAGCAAAAUAAUAAUUUAAAAGUCCACAUACAGCACUAGGAAUAUCAAAUCCGAACCUGUACAAGACCAUGCAGAGUCAACUUGGCUUCAUCAUCCACAUAUAUUUCCAUUGGCUGAAAUGAAGAAAUGUCACAGUAAAGCAUAUUAGGAGCCAUCUGAAGCUAAGGUAUCCACUAUGAAAUGAAUGACGAUCAAAAAAGGUCCGAUUUGAGGUUCUGCGCCAUCAGACACAUCUCCUUGCAGAUACUUCACACUACUCGUGCCAACUGAAUGUCACCAAGACUGUUCAAACAACUAUUGCGGAAUUCAUGAGGUAAGAAAACACGACUUUCACUCUGAACCCCUGCUCUCUUAAAUGUCCCACUGAAAAGGGAAACUUUAAAAAAAAAAAAGGAAAGGACCCAAAAUAGACAAGUAAAACAUCAGCAACAAUGAGAGCAGUGCCUAUGGAACUCAGCCACCUCUUAUGCCAACCUAUUCAAUCUUUGAAAUGAACCACCACUUCGUGUCAGUUGGACAGAUUAACACGACAUGCUUUAAGCAUACAGUGCAUCAGCCACUGCAUUCAAGACCUACUGUCCACAGCAGAAAUCUGGGGAAAAGGGAACAUGGUAGACGUCUAAAAUUCAAGGACUGGCCACAGGACAUUACAUCUUGCAUGAAUUUCUUGCAGACCGGUCGAAUCUCCUUGCUGAGAGUAGCUGAAAACAUCAUAACUUGCUUGUCAUGAGGGGUCAUCUUGAAGAUCUCCUGCACAUCCCUCCGCAUAUCUGAUGUUGGAUUGAUCAAGUUAAGAGCAAUUUCCUUUCAGUGGAGAUGAAGAAAUAAGGUAGCUGUCAUUACAGAGGCUUACCAAGAGACUCGAGCAUCUUGUCACACUCAUCCAGUAUGAAAUGCCUCACAUUUUUCAGAGAAAGUUCCUUGUCUCUAGCAAGAGCAAGUAUCCUUCCCGGAGUUCCCACAACAAUGUGAGGACAUUCAUUCUUCAGAAGAUCCUUGUGUAUUUUGACGUUGACUCCUCCGUAGAAAACAGCUACCUUGAUAUCUGGUAAAUAUGUGCUGAAUCUUUCGAACUCGUGACAAAUCUGCAACCCAAACAAAACGUUUAUGUAAGGAAAUUGGGCUGUCAAUCAAUCCACAAAACAAGUGCUUCAGUGUAUAAAUCGAAUGUAGUCUAGAGGAAGACAACAUAAACCAAUUUUCUUUUCAAGCACGUAAUCAAUAGAGUCAAUUGCUAAAGACAUGCCUGGUAAGCUAAUUCCCUCGUAUGACACAGGACAAGCGCAGCAACUUGGCCUGCAAUUGGUUCAAUCUGCUGUAAUGUUGAGAGAACAAAUACAGCAGUUUUCCCCAUACCAGAUUUGGCUUGGCAGAUGACAUCCAUUCCCAGAAUAGCUUGAGGAAUACACUCAUGUUGAACUGACGAAGAACCAAAGAAAUUUGAUCCAAGGAAGCCUCAAUUUCAAUUAAAAAAGUUUUACCAUGCAACUUCUCCGAGGUAGAGUGAUAGUAAUGAUUUACCUGAAAAAUAUAUCAUUCAAAACAAUUGUAAGUCUCUUUUCAAUAAACACUAUUCAUUUAUAUAGUCAAUAGUAAUAGAAACAGGAAAAGGAUCAAGAACCACAUUGUUGAGCGAACAUCAGCUAAGUACUACAGAAGUACAGAUUCUACAGAAUGUCAAAACUGUUGAAAGAUUGCUCCAUAUAAAUUGACAACAUUUUUAUUGGAAGACAAAAUUAAUAGUAAUAAUUAGCAAUAAUGCAUAGCAAAAGUUGAAACAUCAUGCCCCUUUGACCAGGCUAGGCAGGCAGGUUUAGGAAGCCUAAGAUGCAUGUAUACGAAACGAAAGGAUGAGGAAAAUGUCUUCACUUAUAAGAUUCUCAUGGUUUUGGCAUACAGACUACACAAUAUAACUCUCAUUUCCAGUCAGCACAUCUAGUAAAGAUUGAAUUAUGUGAGCGAUUAACCACAUAGUUUCCCAAACACAAAAAAAAUGUAUCUUGCCUUCUGAUGGAUGUUCAAAUCCAGAGUCCACAAUAGCACGUAAAAGCUCCGGCUUCAAGAGGAAGUCCCUGAAUCCUGAACUGUGGAUUCCCACAUAUCCCCUGUACACAAAAGGAAAAUAAUGCAUGUUAACACCUGCAUAGAUAUAAACCCAAUUGACAGAAUUUGUUUACUAGUAACCACAUCCUAGAUUCCUUUACAUAACAUUUCUCCCAUUUCGUGAUUAGCAAAAUUCAUGUGUAAAGACACCCAAAUUCGAGCAAAAUAACUAAAACGCAGCUAUUUACAAAGAACAUCAUCUCUCUUUCAUAAAUCUUACUCCAAACAAAGGGCUCAAACAACUAAACAGUUUAACAAACAAAUAAUAUACGCGAAUUUUCAGAAAAGCACCACACAAACAAGCAAAAAAUUGGUGCAGGGAACACAACAAACUCAGCAACAGACAAUUAAAUUAUGAAAAUCUCUUCAGUAUCACGGAACUCACUUCUUCACCGACUCGCCGUUGACCUUGGCACCGACAGAAUCGGGUGCUUUCUCCUCUUCUUCCUCGUAGUCGAGAAGCUCCUCCUCGUAGGCUUCGGUCUCCUUCGUCUCGCCCAUUUUUUCUGCUGCUGCUUUUGCUGCUUGAAACUACAGAUCGACGAACAAAAUUAAACCUUUCGCACUUCAUUCAGCUCAAUACAUAUACACAUAACUCGAAACACACACACACACUUGAAGAGACAGCUUCGCUAACCUGCUGAAUUCGAUUAGGAACACGCGAUUGAGAACAGUUUCGGUUGGAAUUUGCGAUUUCUGCAGAGAAAAAUGUUAGGAAAUGUACGAAAUGAGAUAUUUUGGAGGGGGAGACAGAUAGGGUUUGGCAAUGGAUUUCUGAUUUCAAUGAUAGAGCUACGUGAUUUGACUGAUUUGCCCUUGGAAGACGAGUUUGGGCUUGCUAAUUUUGUGAAGACAUUUAUAUUAUGAAUGGGCUUUUUUUAGGGUGAAAAAAUGGGCUUUUUUAACUGAUUGUUAAUUUGUUAUAAAUAAAUUUUAGCCACAAAGUUUUUAAUGAAAAUGUGUACAUUACAAACAAAAUUAUAGAGUAAAAGAAAAGGCACUUAAUUACUCUCCCCGUCUCAUUAAAGUUAGCUCAGUUCUUUUAAACAAAAAAAUUAAGAAAAUGUAUAAAUUAUAUAAAAGUUAUAGUAUUCACAACUUUUCAAAAAUUAAAUAGUCUUUUAUAAAUAAAUCAAUUUUAGUGGGACAUCUCAAAACGAAAAAUGGGUCAAUUUUAAUGGAAAGUUAGAAUUACUAUAAUUUAGAAGUUCGGAAGCACUCAACUAGUGAAUACCACUAAAACCUAAUUUUUAAAUUGCUACUCCGGCCUUCUUGAGGAAUCUAUAUAUUAUAUAAAAGACCAGUUAAACGGUCAUUUUUCCCGCCACCUACCUCUCCAAAUUUUAAAUUUUCAAAUUAAUAGGUGUCAUUUUUUCAAAAAUAACUGUCUUAAUAUCAUAAAUAUAAUUAUUUAAUUAAACCAAUUCAAUGUAUCCGAGUAAUUUAAUUAACUCCCACUAACUCCCAACUAUAACUGUCUAAAUCACACAAUUUACAAAUCUCUCUGAUCACAUCUCUCAAACUCAAGCACCCUCCCUCUGGAAACUGCCGCCGCCGCCGCCUCCUCCGGCCAACGACGCCUCUCGCCCCCUCUUAAACUUUCUCCUUCCCUCUCUUACUCUCUUCUCACAGAACACGCCCACACACGAACAACCUACGCCGCCGCCCAGACUCCGGCGACUUCGCCGACCGCCACUGCCGCGGUCACCACCACCACAGCCCACAUCUCCAUCGCCUUCCACCUCUUCACCCAAAAGCCAUAUAUCUCCCCCCGGUACUCUCUCUCGUCGCCGCUGCACAGCNUUUGAUGUAGUGCUGCCAUGAAGAGACACCAAGUAAGCAAAAUAAUAAUUUAAAAGUCCACAUACAGCACUAGGAAUAUCAAAUCCGAACCUGUACAAGACCAUGCAGAGUCAACUUGGCUUCAUCAUCCACAUAUAUUUCCAUUGGCUGAAAUGAAGAAAUGUCACAGUAAAGCAUAUUAGGAGCCAUCUGAAGCUAAGGUAUCCACUAUGAAAUGAAUGACGAUCAAAAAAGGUCCGAUUUGAGGUUCUGCGCCAUCAGACACAUCUCCUUGCAGAUACUUCACACUACUCGUGCCAACUGAAUGUCACCAAGACUGUUCAAACAACUAUUGCGGAAUUCAUGAGGUAAGAAAACACGACUUUCACUCUGAACCCCUGCUCUCUUAAAUGUCCCACUGAAAAGGGAAACUUUAAAAAAAAAAAAAAGAAGGAUCCCAAAAUGACAAGUAAAACAUCAGCAACAAUGAGAGCAGUGCCUAUGGAACUCAGCCACCUCUUAUGCCAAC
rnacentral:lncRNA from 1 species